CCCAGUUCAGUUUGGGAAGUCAAGUUACAAGAAAUUCCUUAACUUCCUCUACUCCUAAUUACAGCCAUCACUACCACCACUGACAACAACGGGUGUAUCUCCUCUCCCAGGCCAUGCCGCUCAACUCCAUAGUUCCCAAGCCAGACCACAAAAGUGCUCCCGUGGAAGGUCUGCGAAAGAUGUCCGAAAUCAACAACAGAGCUGUCGUCGCCUACCCAGGACAAGCCAAUUCACAAUCUGUCCACCAACUCACCAUAUAUCCUACGACCCUGAAGUUUGAGGAGGUGGUGUACAAGGUUAAACAGGAUCAGAAGGGAUUGUGCUGGGGUGGCACAUGGACCACCCGAGAAAAGACCAUACUGAAUGAGGUAACAGGUAUGGUUUGUCCAGGGGAGAUCCUAGCAAUGCUAGGUCCAUCUGGAAGUGGCAAAACCACCCUCCUUACGGCUCUAGGAGGUCGUCUAAGUGGUAAGCUAUCCGGAAAGAUCACGUACAACGGACAGCCUUUUUCCGGUGCCAUGAAACGACGCACAGGUUUCGUUGCUCAGGACGACAUUUUGUACCCACAUCUAACUGUGACUGAAACUCUUCUGUUCACUGCACUGCUAAGGCUACCCAAAACAUUAACCAGGGAUGAGAAAGCACAGCAUGUAGAACGAGUUAUGGCUGAACUGGGGUUGAGUCGGUGCCGGAACAGCAUGAUAGGGGGGCCACUCUUUAGAGGAAUAUCAGGAGGAGAGAAGAAGAGGGUUAGUAUUGGUCAAGAAAUGCUAAUCAAUCCAAGCUUGCUACUACUAGAUGAGCCCACAUCAGGUUUGGAUUCAACUACAGCACAAAGGAUCCUGACCACGAUCAAACGGCUAGCGAGUGGGGGCCGAACUGUCGUCACCACCAUUCACCAGCCCUCAAGCAGACUUUACCACAUGUUUGAUAAGGUAGUCUUGCUCUCUGAGGGACAUCCCAUCUACUACGGUCCUGCAUCUGCAGCUUUGGAAUAUUUUUCCUCCAUUGGAUUUUCUACUUCCAUGACUGUCAAUCCAGCUGAUCUCUUACUUGAUCUUGCGAAUGGCAUUGGUCCUGAUUCUAAAAAUGCCACUGACCAAGGUGAGAACAUGGAGCAAGAACAGAAGUUAGUGAAGGAAGCUCUUAUAUCUGCUUAUGAGAAGAAAAUUUCUACCAGACUGAAAGCUGAGCUUUGCAAUUCGGACCCGAAUAAUUACAACUAUACAAAAGAUGCCUCUGCAAAAACUGAAACAAAGUCAGAGCAAUGGUGCACAAGCUGGUGGUAUCAGUUCAAAGUGCUCUUUCAGCGGGGGCUAAGGGAGCGGAGGUACGAGUCCUUCAACAGGCUACGAAUUUUUCAAGUCCUCAGUGUCAGUAUACUUGGCGGACUUCUGUGGUGGCAUACACCAACUUCUCACAUUGAAGACCGCAUUGCACUGCUCUUCUUCUUCUCUGUUUUCUGGGGAUUUUACCCACUCUACAAUGCAGUUUUCACAUUUCCCCAGGAAAGAAGGAUGUUGGUUAAGGAACGAGCAUCGGGAAUGUAUCAUCUUUCAUCCUACUUCCUGGCUCGAACAUGCGGAGAUCUGCCAUUGGAGCUUGCGCUCCCAACUGCAUUCGUCUUCAUAAUCUAUUGGAUGGGCGGACUUAAAGCCGAUCCUAUAACUUUUAUACUCUCCCUACUUGUUGUUCUUUACAGCGUUCUUGUUUCUCAAAGUCUUGGAUUAGCCAUUGGUGCUCUUCUAAUGGACAUAAAACAAGCCACUACAUUAGCUUCAGUUACAACUCUGGUUUUUCUCAUUGCCGGAGGAUACUACGUUCAACAUAUCCCUCCUUUCAUAGUAUGGCUGAAGUACUUAAGCUACAGUUACUACAGUUACAAGCUUCUUCUUGGUGUCCAAUACAAUGAGGAUGAUUACUAUGAGUGCUCAAAGGGAGUCUUGUGCCGGGUUGGAGAUUUUCCUUCUGUCAAAUCAAUGGGUCUGAACCAUUUAUGGGUAGAUGUAGCAAUUAUGGCACUGAUGCUAGUGGGUUAUCGAUUGGUCGCUUAUCUGGCACUCCAUCGCGUGCAGCUGAGGUGAAAUUUAGCAGAAGUUUACUUCAAGAAACAGGACAGUUUGAAGAGUUUUCUCCUUCUUCAACUGAGGAAUAAUGUUAGGUUCAGAGUAUGGGAAUCAGUUUCAAAUCUAGUAAUAAAUGUCUAACAAUUCUGAAUUGAUGGAAUCAUAAAAGCAAGUGACAAAAGGAAAGGAAAUAAACGAAGAUAUGCACAUUUCCAAUUGCAGGAAAGAAGAAAACGACCUGACCUUGAAGUCCAAUACUCUAUUGAGUGGAACUGAUAUUUCGAUCUUUGUGGGGCUUCCAAAACCAAAUAUUGGUUUCUGUUUAACGGUUUUCUGCUGCAAGAGCAUGAACAGGAAAAAAGGCACUCUUCGACAACUCAUUGAAAGCGAUGGACAUGACAGAUCUGAAGCAAAGCAGAAUAAGGAAGCACCAUAUACCCGUUAUUAUACUAAAAUAUUUGAUAAUUAUUAAAAAAAAAAGAAUGAAUGGUGGCAGAGAGUUAGCUUUCGUUCAAGAACAACAUUAUGAG